UCAUUUAGACAGCAGGACGGUGGUCAUGGAAGUCGAAAUCCGCUAAGGAGUGUGUAACAACUCACCUGCCGAAUGAACUUGCCCUGAAAAUGGAUGGCGCUAAAGCAGUCUGCCGAAACGUCGCCAUCGCGGCAGGGCUUUGCCGCGAUGUGUAGGAAGACGUGGGCGUGGCGUUGAAGCGCGUUGCGUGAGCGCGCGUGGAGCGUGGCCUAGUGCGGAUCUUGGUGGUAGUAGCAACUAUUCAAAUGAGAUCUUUGAAGACUGAUGUGGAGUAGGGUUCCAUGUGAACAUUGAUUGGCCAUGGGUUAGCCGGUCCUAAGCAGCAGCUUUGUUGCGCGCGAGGUGGGCUUUGCCCCGCUGUGCGAAAGGGGAUAGGGUCAAAAUUCCCUAGCCGGGCCGUGGAUACUGGGUGGCAACACAAGUGAACUUCCCCCCGCAUGCGAGCACCCCGGCAAGCGUUUUCUGUGCUUGUUGACUUCGCGUGGCUGCGUGGAAUCGCUUUGCGCGGCGAUACGGUGCCACGCUGGGCAUAGCGGUCCGGCGUUCGGUCCGUCCGGUGCGUGCUCGACUGCCCGUGAAACGGGAAGGGAACGGUUUAUUCGCACCCCCGUCCGUACCGACAACCGCAUCAGGUCUCCUAGGUUAGCAGCCUCUGGUCGAUAGAGCAAGGCAGAUAAGGGAAGUCGGCAAAAUGGAUCCGUAACUUCGGGAUAAGGAUUGGCUCUGAGGGCCGGGCGUUUGGCCUUGCGGCGCGGCUCCGGCGCGCUGCCCCGCCUGGCGUU
rnacentral:rRNA from 1 species